GAUCAUCAGAUUAAUAAAAAAAAACUUAUCAAUAUUUAAAAUUGAAAACAUUUAACACAAAAUCUCAUUCUCUCAACCGAAACAGUACGAAACUGAAAAUAAUAUUUACAACAUCAAUUCUAAAAAAAACAUAAAUAAUGUUGAUACAACUAUACUCGUGUUAAAGAAGAACCAACACACAAUCAUAACGAAAAAUAAUUUAACAACCAGGCAUAUGCGACACAGGUUGUUACCAUAAUGUCAUCAGCGGUGGGUUUGCUUCCGAUCCCAGUAGAAAGGUUGGAGUUGAAACUUUCACAUUGUUGAUCAAUUUUCUUUUGUCUUAAAGUAGCAUCAUCCUCGAUGGACCAAAGCAUGAAUCAUCACCAACCUUGACGUACUCCUUUUUAGCUCCAUCACUAAUGGAUGUUCCAAACAAUGGUUGUUCACUCCACAAAUACGACAAUAUCAAGAUAAUUGUACAUCUUGUAAAAACAAUCUCAAACCAAAGGAAUAGCCCACAAUAUACAUGGAGUAAAAAGGAGAUGAUGACGCAGACUCAAGCAAUCUUAUUACUUCAUCUCUAAAUUUUUUUCUAGGGAGGAUGACGUCAGAGACCUUUGGGAGAAGAAGAGGGUCCUUCCCAAGAGAGAAAGAUCAAAAA